GUUUAGUGGCGGACGGGUGAGUAACGCGUGAGCAAUCUGCCUUUAAGAGGGGGAUAACAGUCGGAAACGGCUGCUAAUACCGCAUAAAGCAUUGAAUUCGCAUGUUUUUGAUGCCAAAGGAGCAAUCCGCUUUUAGAUGAGCUCGCGUCUGAUUAGCUGGUUGGCGGGGUAACGGCCCACCAAGGCGACGAUCAGUAGCCGGACUGAGAGGUUGAACGGCCACAUUGGGACUGAGACACGGUCCAGACUCC
rnacentral:rRNA from 1 species